UAACUGAAGAGUUUGAUCAUGGCUCAGAUUGAACGCUGGCGGCAGGCCUAACACAUGCAAGUCGAGCGGAAACGAUGGUAGCUUGCUACCAGGCGUCGAGCGGCGGACGGGUGAGUAACGCGUGAGAAUCUGCCCAUUUGUGGGGGAUAACUCGGGGAAACUCGAGCUAAUACCGCAUAAUCCCUACGGGGGAAAGCAGGGGACCUUCGGGCCUUGUGCAGAUGGAUGAGCUCGCGUCGGAUUAGCUUGUUGGUGAGGUAAAGGCUCACCAAG
rnacentral:rRNA from 2 species